rnacentral:rRNA from 1 species
UACGGGGGGGGCAAGCGUUGUUCGGAAUUACUGGGCGUAAAGGGCGCGUAGGCGGUUGGAUAAGUCAGCUGUGAAAACCACGGGCUUAACUCGUGGCCUGCAGUUGAGACUGUCUGGCUUGAGUGUGGGAGAGGAGAGUGGAAUUCCUGGUGUAGCGGUGAAAUGCGUAGAUAUCAGGAGGAACACCGGUGGCGAAGGCGGGUCUCUGGGCCGUAACUGACGCUGAGGAGCGAAAGCAUGGGGAGCGAACAGG